rnacentral:rRNA from 1 species
GAUGAACGCUGGCGGCGUGCCUAAUACAUGCAAGUCGAGCGAACGGACGAGAAGCUUGCUUUUCUGAUGUUAGCGGCGGACGGGUGAGUAACACGUGGAUAACCUACCUAUAAGACUGGGAUAACUUCGGGAAACCGGAGCUAAUACCGGAUAAUAUUUUGAACCGCAUGGUUCAAAAGUGAAAGACGGUCUUGCUGUCACUUAUAGAUGGAUCCGCGCUGCAUUAGCUAGUUGGUAAGGUAACGGCUUACCAAGGCAACGAUGCAUAGCCGACCUGAGAGGGUGAUCGGCCACACUGGAACUGAGACACGGUCCAGACUCCUACGGGAGGCAGCAGUAGGGAAUCUUCCGCAAUGGGCGAAAGCCUGACGGAGCAACACCGCGUGAGUGAUGAGGGUCUUCGGAUCGUAAAACUCUGUUAUUAGGGAAGAACAUAUGUGUAAGUAACUGUGCACAUCUUGACGGUACCUAAUCAGAAAGCCACGGCUAACUACGUG